UUUCCUCAGUUCAAGUUCCAUCAAAACUUUACACCAUAGAUUUAUUAUUCUGAGAUUUUAUAAUCCAAACCCUAAUCGUGCCCCUCCCAAUUUCCAUCGAACCCCUCUCGAACCUCAAUCUCAUCCUACGAGACAAGCCAUCACCGUCAUUUCAUCGUGCCCUGUUCUCGUAUCCUGUUGUCUUUGUUCGGAAUUGCUGCAAGCGAUUGAGAUCUGUUGCGAACCACCAACACAUCUUAUCACCUCUAAUGGCAGCCCUGUUCACCGGCUUAUAGAACAUAUAGGUAGAAAUUGGCAAUCUUUUUUUACUUUAUUUAAUGGUGAUGUUUUGAGAUUGAAAUUAGAAUUUAUUAGAGUUUGUGAGAUCUUUUAUAAUCUUAUGUAUAGUGAUUAUGAUUUUUUGGUUAGUUGACUAUUGGUUGGCUGUGCUUAAAUCGAAUUGAAAUGGACCCCAAAUUUGAUAUGACAAUAUCACGGGAUAUCUAUGAACAUGCUGUUGUGCUUAGUGUAGAGAUAGAAGAUUAAGAUGCAUUUGAGAGAUAUUUCUUUCAGCGGAAGAAAUACUUUACAGAUGUUGGGAGUACCAUAAUUUUGGUCUCUCGUCUUUUGAGCAAUCACACAUGGAAAGUGCUUAUAUUCAUGCGUUGACUGAUAGACAAAUGGUACCCCAUGAAACUAAUGUUUAUUUCAUGGAUCUUUGGCAAGGACGCUUAAGUAAGAAUUCUUUAAUCUUAAAUAGUAAAUGAAAUCUGUGACAGCCGUAGUACCACCCAACACUUUUUUCUAAUGAUAUAUAGAUUGCGCUCCUGUGCACUUGAGCUCUGAUUUAUCUUUUUUGUUCUAAUAGUAGCUAGUAGCUGGGGGUCUCACUGGAAGCAGCUUCUCUAUUCCUAUGGUGUAGAGGUAAAGCUGUCUACGUCUUACCCUCCUCAGACCCUACCUUAGUUUUGCUAUUGGUGAGAUUUACUGUGAGUAUGAUGAUGAUGGGGGGGGGGGAAGAAGAAGAAACGGUUUGUAGUGACAGCCGACAUGGAUACGAACAAGGUUUGUAUGGCAGAAGUGUGGCAGGCGAGACGAUGAUUACUUUGGGAGCCAGGGGUGACGACAAGAGCUUAUUUCGUGCUUUAGUUUGAAAUGUUUUGUUGAUUUUAUGAAAUGGUUUGAUUGACUAAUUCGUGUGUAGAUGAUUCAGCAGCAAAGUUGAAGGGAAGGAAAGUUCAAUUUGAUUCUAUCAAACUCCGAAGAUGAAGAUGAUGAGAGGACGAGAUGGAAUUUUGAUUUUUGUCAACCGUGGUUGCGUUCUUUAUGAACCAAAGUAAAGACAUCGCCGCAUCUUCGUCAAUAAGGUGGUGCCAUGACAUUGGUGGUGAGCAUGCUACAAAUAAGCCUUUGAUAAAAACCGUUUUCUAGCUACGAAGAGAAGGAUGAACAGUUCAAAGAACAGGUGAAGAUGAUCGAAGUGAGUAGGAAAUCUGAGCAUGCUACACAAGCAAAUGGUGAAGGAGGUUCACUCGCAUAGUUUAAUGAAAUAUUGUAUUUUUGUUAGUAUUUUUUUGAAAUGAUGUAUGAAAUAUUGGUUUGUUAGUAUCAACAUUAAUGAAAUAUUGUUAACUUUGUUAUUUGAAUAAUUGAAUGAAAUGGAUUGUUUUGAUA